GCAAACUUGGUCAUUUAGAGGAAGUAAAAGUCGUAACAAGGUCUCCGUAGGUGAACCUGCGGAGGGAUCAUUAACGAAUGGUCUUUGGUACCUUCAAAACCCCUUCAAACCAGUGGACAUGAAAAAAUGUGCUUCGGCGCUCCGGCGCCGCUUUUAUGCUGUAACUCUGUCGUUUGUGUCUGAAUGUAAAGCGCAAAGAAACAAAACUUUCAACAAAGGAUCUCUUGGCUCUCGCAUCGAUGAAGAACGCAGC
rnacentral:misc_RNA from 1 species